rnacentral:rRNA from 1 species
CCUACGGGUGACAGCAGUGGGGAAUAUUGGGCAAUGGGCGCAAGCCUGACCCAGCAACGCCGCGUGAAGGAAGAAGGCUUUCGGGUUGUACACUUCUUUUCUGAGGGACGAAGAAAGUGACGGUACCUCAGGAAUAAGCCACGGCUAACUACGUGCCAGCAGCCGCGGUAAUACGUAGGUGGCAAGCGUUAGCCGGAUUUAUGUGGUGUAAAGGGCGUGUAGGCGGGAAAGCAAGGCAGAUGUGAAAACUCAGGGCUCAACCCUGAGCCUGCAUUUGAAACUGUUUUUCUUGAGUGCUGGAUGGGCAAUCGGAAUUCCGUGUGUAGCGGUGAAAUGCGUAGAUAUACGGAGGAACACCAGUGGCGAAGGCGGAUUGCUGGACAGUAACUGACGCUGAGGCGCGAAAGCGUGGGGAGCAAACAGGAUUAGAUACCCGAGUAGUC